AAACUAUUAAACCACAAGCUCCGUGUAGCCCAAUCCUACAGACCCCAACACGCCAGAACAUUAAACCAAAGGCCACUCUAAUAAGGAAUAAGAACACAGCAAACAGACAAUCAGCCCCUGAACAAAGGAUCCGCAAGGGCGAGGGCUACUCGCUCUCCCAUGUGGCUGAAAUCAAUCCUGUUGAAAGACCAUGUGCUUCUAUGCCCCUCUCUGUGAAAGCUGCUACGCCUAACGUUCGCCAUCGUAAGCCUAAGAAGCAAUUUAUUGAGCCUGUGAAGCCAUACACGACCGGUCUCCCGCCCAAAAGUAGCACCCCUUCCUUUGUUCCGGUCUCGUCUUACCCGGC